CCUCCCAAAGUGCUGGGAUUACAGGCAUGAGCCACUGCGCCCUGCCUCACUUGAACUUUUGAGUCUUGCAAUUGGAAAUAGAUCAAAAUGGAAUAGUUUUCCCCUUUUCUUGGCCUCACCCCAGAUCAGGCCUAGAUUAUGGAGGGCCAGUGAGGUGGAACGCUUACUGUGUGUUUUUGUUUUUGUUUUUGUUUUUAGACAGGGGUCUUGCUCUGUCACCCAGGCUGGAGUGCAGUGGCGUGAUCUUAGCUCACUGCAACCUCCAUCUCCCGGGUUCAAGCGUUUCUCCUGCCUCAGCCUCCCAAGUAGCUGGGAUUACAGGCACCUGCCACCACACCUGGCUAGUUUUUGUAUUUUUAGUAGAGACAACGUUUCCCAAUGUUGCCCAGGCUGGUCUCGAACUCCUGGCUUCAAGUGAUCUGCCCGCCUCGGCCUCCCAAAGUGCUGGGAUUGCAGGCGUGAGCCACCGCCUGUGUUUUAAAUGAAGAGUUUCAGUUUAGCUGAUGGCAGCAAAUAGAAGCUGAAAUUUAAAUACAAGUAACAUUAAGUAACAUCUCCCUCUGUUGCAACUUUGGGUUGACAAAGGCAAGGCUCAGGUUAAAGAACUGAUAAAAACUUGGUCAUGAGGUGUGGGUCUCAUCAUGUUGCUUAAAAACAAAAAGCCCAGCUUCCAGAGAUGUGCAUGGUGUUGAUUGUGGCAGAGGGUAUGAGAAAGUGGGGCCCACUCUUUUCUUUGGCUAAUGACUCAUUUAAAAACUCAUUUGUCACCUAAAACAUUUAUUCCAAAAUUGGGAUUUUUAAAUUAAAUGCUAUUUAAAACUUCAGAAAGGAAUUAAAAACUUGAUAAUUGAAACAGGUGAUAUGUCAAUUCACCUUUUAAAUUCAAAUAAUAUAGUUCAGAAUAAAUCAUAAAAUUUGGGAAGAAUUUGGAUUUCUUCACCAACACUAAAUAGCUAUUGCAUAAGUGUGUGCUGUAAUUGUAAACACUGGUGUAUUUUACAAACUGGUUUUAUUGGAAUCCAUGUAGUCUGAAAAUUGUAUGAUUCUGUAAAAAAGUUUCCACUUGAACUUUCUGAGAACGGUUUAAAGGUGAAAUAAUCUGAUACACUUCUCUGUCAAUAAAAAAUAAAUCAUGAUAU
rnacentral:lncRNA from 1 species